rnacentral:rRNA from 1 species
GAUCAUGGCUCAGGAUGAACGCUGGCGGCGUGCCUAAUACAUGCAAGUCGAACGCUUCACAUCGGUGAAGAGUGGCGAACGGGUGAGUAAUACAUAAGUAACCUGGCAUCUACAGGGGGGAUAACUGAUGGAAACGUCAGCUAAGACCGCAUAGGUAUAGAGAUCGCAUGAACUCUAUAUGAAAAGUGCUACGGGACUGGUAGAUGAUGGACUUAUGGCG